UACAGAGGGGGCAAGCGUUAUUCGGAAUUAUUGGGCGUAAAGGGCGCGUAGGCGGCUUUGCAAGUGACGGGUGAAAGCCCUCGGCUUAACCGAGGAACUGCCUGUCAGACUGUGAGGCUUGAGACCAGGAGAGGUGAGUGGAAUUCCCAGUGUAGCGGUGAAAUGCGUAGAUAUUGGGAGGAACACCAGUGGCGAAGGCGGCUCACUGGACUGGUACUGACGCUGAGGCGCGAAAGCCAGGGGAGCAAGCGGG
rnacentral:rRNA from 1 species